CUACGGGCGGCAGCAGUCUAGAAAUUUGCACAAUCGACGAAAGUUGGAUGCAGUGACGCCACGUGGAGGAUGAAGCCCUUAGGGGUGUAAACUCCUGUCAGGAGGGAAGAAGGUGCGGCCGUUAAUACCGGUCGUUGCUUGACGGUACCUCCAGAGGAAGCUCCGGCUAACUACGUGCCAGCAGCCGCGGUAAUACGUAGGGAGCGAGCGUUGUUCGGAUUUACUGGGCGUAAAGGGCAGGUAGGCGGGUAUUCAAGUCGGUUGUGAAAUCCUCUGGCUCAACCAGAGAAUUGCAAUCGAAACUGUAUACCUUGAGUUCAGCAGAGGGAAUCGGAAUCCUAGGUGUAGCGGUGAAAUGCGUAGAUAUCUAGGAGAACACCAGUGGCGAAGGCGGAUUCCUGGGCUGACACUGACGCUGAGCUGCGAAAGCUGGGGGAGCGAACAGGAUUAGAUACCCCGGUAGUC
rnacentral:rRNA from 1 species